UUUGUAAAUACAGGCUUUUUUUAGAACCUGCAGCUGCCCUAAUUCAUUGAUGAAUUGUCUAUGGUGCUUUUGCAUUACAAUAGCAGAGGCCCUCUCAGAGCCUUUAAGAAGCCAGUAAGGAAAUCCAGCUGCAUUUCCCUGGAACCCUGUUGUCAUGGAGUGUCCCCGAUGCUGGGAUGCAUGUACCUGAGGGCACAUGAAGACUUCUCAAGGGAUACAGUCAGCAGUGUUCGUGGAGCCCCUACACUGUCCCAGACACCAUCCUAGAAGCAGGAAAUACAGCGAGGAACAAGACAGGCAACCAGGGAGGAAGGCUCUCUGCAACACGUGAAAAGUCCAGCUGAUGUCCAUUUUCCCCUGUGCAAGUCAUUAGCACACAGAGCCACCAACGUCAAGUCCUUCGACUGACCACACACCAGAUCAUCAAGUAAAUCUUUUGCAAGGCCUGCUACAGCAACAAAGGAAGGGAGAAUUAUACUGGCAGGGUGAUGGCGCAGCAUCCCAGAUGCUACAAACAGCGGGAGUAAAUGGA